rnacentral:rRNA from 1 species
UACGUAGGGCGCAAGCGUUGUCCGGAAUCAUUGGGCGUAAAGAGCGCGUAGGCGGCCCUGUAAGUCCGCUGUGAAAGUCAAGGGCUCAACCCUUGGAUGCCGGUGGAUACUGCAGGGCUAGAGUCCGGAAGAGGCGAGUGGAAUUCCUGGUGUAGCGGUGAAAUGCGCAGAUAUCAGGAGGAACACCGAUGGCGAAGGCAGCUCGCUGGGACGGUACUGACGCUGAUGCGCGAAAGCGUGGGGAGCGAUCGG